rnacentral:rRNA from 1 species
UACGUAGGUGGCAAGCGUUGUCCGGAUUUCCUGGGCGUAAAGCGUCUGCAGGCGGAUGAGUAAGUAGGAAGUGAAAGGUUGGAGCUCAACUCUAACACGGCUCCCUAUACUGCUUGUCUUGAGUGCCGGAGAGGACAAGGGAACUUCACGUGUAGCGGUGAAAUGCGUUGAGAUGUGAAGGAACACCAAUGGCGAAAGCACUUGUCUGGACGGAAACUGACGCUGAGAUACGAAAGCCAAGGGAGCGAACAGG